UCCAAGGAGGAUGGGCAAUGAAGGGGAAUGGUCUGACUCGUCCAUUUCAAGCACGUAGAAAUCCGCUGGAAAGAUUAAGUGAUUGACCUGCACUAAAACAUCUUCCAAAACUCCCUUUGGAUAGACAUUAGAUCGAUCGGCCAAUUGUAUAAUCACACCAUCAUUUUUCAAUUCGCCUAAGUGCAUAGAUGCAUAGAUUGAAUAAGGCAUGACAUUUACAGAUGCACCUAAGUCUAACAUGGCAGAUUCAAAACGAGUAUUACCAAUUACACAAGGAAUGGUAAAGCUACCCGGAUCUUUGCAUUUAGUGGGCAGUUUAUGUUGUAAAACAGCUGAGACAUUUUCACUUACCUUGACAACCUCCUUACUCGAAAUUCUCUUCCUAGUUGUGCAAAGUUCUUUUAAAAACUUGGCAUAC
rnacentral:lncRNA from 1 species